UCCCACCGCACCGCCAUGGCCGCGCUGCGCCGCGCCUCGCUCCUCCGAUCCGCUCUCGGGCGGCUCGGCUCCCUCCGGCCAUUCUCCGCGGAGGCUGCCGCCCCGCCCCGCCGCGACGCGGCCGCGGCGCUGGCGGCCGCGCUGGCUGCCGGGUCGGGGCUGGGGAUCUGGCUGCUGCCCACGUCGCGCCCGCUCGCGGACUCCGGCCAGGCCGACUUCGCCGUCGCGGAGGCCGGCUACGGGGGCGCGGCCGCAGCGGAGGAGCCAGAGGAGAAGGGCAGGUUCCUCUUCGGAGACUCGUACCGCAGAAGGGUCUUCUUCAACUACGAGAAGCGGAUUCGGACGCGCAGCCCUCCCGAGAAGAUCUUCGAGUACUUCGCGUCCGCCCGGAACCCGGAGGGCGAGGUGUACAUGUCACCAGCCGACCUGAUGAGGGCGGUCGUACCCGUUUUCCCUCCAUCCGAAUCUAAUGUCGUCAGGGAGGGAAGGCUCAGAGGGGAACGCAACCCAGGGGAGCUGGAGUGUGCACCUUCUGAGUUUUUCAUGCUAUUCGACACAAAUGGUGAUGGCCUCAUCUCCUUUGCUGAGUACAUCUUUUUCGUGACAUUGCUUAGCAUCCCUGAGUCCAGCUUCAAUAUAGCUUUCAAGAUGUUUGACCUUGACCACAGCGGGGAAAUAGAUAAAGAAGAGUUCAAGAAAGUGAUGACAUUGAUGCGGUCCUAUAAUAGGCAAGGAGCUGCCCACAGGGAUGGGUUUCGUAUUGGACUGAAGGUUGGUCAGCCAGUGGAAGACGGUGGUCUGCUUGAGUACUUCUUUGGCAAGGAUGGGAGUGAAACUUUACCAUAUGAAAAGUUCUCCAACUUUUUGAAGCAAUUGCAUGAUGAGAUUGUUCGUUUGGAAUUCAGUCACUAUGAUAUAAAAUCAUCUAAGACAAUAUCUGCGAAGGACUUUGCAUUAUCCAUGGUUGCUUCAGCUGACAUGAAUCACAUAAAUAAGCUACUUGACAGAGUUGAUGAUUUUGAUGAAUCUCCUGAUGUCAAGGAUUUGCGCAUUACCUUUGAGGAGUUCAAGGCUUUUGCUGAUCUCCGGCGAAGAUUGGAACCAUUUACAAUGGCUAUCUUCAGUUAUGGAAAAGUGAACGGUUUGCUGACAAAGCAGGAUCUGAAACGUGCUGCAACUCAUGUUUGUGGUGUGGACUUGACUGAUAAGGUGGUGGACGUCAUUUUCCAUGUUUUUGAUGCAAACUGUGAUGGUAACCUAAGCUCAGAGGAGUUCUUGAGGGCAUUACAAAGACGGGAAAGCAAUAUUCGCCAGCCAACCACUCCAGGUCUAAUGGGUGUAUUAUCCUGCUGGCUGAACUGUACGAAGUGUUCUUUUCAACAGAUGCAGCUCCAGUAGAAUAUCUUGGAGAUUAGCCUUCUGCUGCCAUGAGUCAGUCUCUCUAUUUGAUGAGCUGGGAGAACGAAAUACAACCACCACUAGAUGUCAGCUGAGACGAUCUUGUUGUAAAUAUUGUCCAGCUGAUCAGAGUUGCCCAAUUAUGUAGCAGCUGUAAAUAAAGUACUCUAUUUCGUUCUGGCCCAUGGGCAGUUGACAGAUCUCUCGUUCACUGAUGUAAUGAACCUAUGACUUUGGACCUCGUCUAUUGUAGUGCUAAGCUCUA